GCCGGGUGUGGUGGCUCAUGCCUGUAAUCCCAGAGACUCAGGAGGCUGAGGCAGAAGGAUUGCAGGUUGAAGGCCAGUCUCAGCAAUUUAGUGAGGCUCUAAGGAACUUGGCAGGAUCCUGUCUCAA
rnacentral:sRNA from 1 species